CUACAGGCGUGAGCCACUGUGCCUGGCCAUAAUCUUGUAACUCUUUACAGAUAUAUUCUGAAUCUAAUCUUUUGAGGUUUCUUGGUGGAGGAAGCCUGAGAGGAAGAACACCCCCAUUGUAAGUUGGGAACCAAGAUUCUAAUAAGUGACACACUCCAAGUCACUUAGAAUGGCGAGAAAUGAUUCCAGAAAAGAAUCUCUGUUUCCUGGCAACCAGCUCAGUACUCUCUGAAGGGCACUUGGAAGGAAAGUUCAAUCAAUGGAAGGGUCAAAUGUUUCUUUUUCAAAUGGCCAUUUUGCAUGUAAUGGCUGUUCUGUGCAGACAUUGUGGGCUGUUCUUCUCUUGUUCAUAAGAUCUAGGGUCCUUCUGUGCAAAUGUAUGUGCUGUGGGUAAGAAAUUACUUCAACUGAGUUUAUUGGCAUUUCUUAGCACAUACGAGUUCGAAGAAAAUUUAUUACAGGUAGUUGCAGUCUGGCAUCAUGUGGCACAUCAUCACUGUCUCUUCUGCAAAUUUCUGAGAAUAAGAAGAAUUGGUUGAAAAAACUUCUAACAUCUCCAUCGGUUUGUAAUCAGCGAAUACAAUUAUGAAGCAAUUUCCUACCUGUUUUUUUAUUUGAUCCAUGAACUUUUCAAGAGAUGUGUGCUAUUGCUGUUGUGACCAUUAGCUCCCAUUUCUCAGAUGAGGAAACUGAGGCUCAGUGAGCCUUAAAUGACUUGCCCAAAACUAUAAGGUCAGUUAGUGGUGGAACUUCUGCCUUCAAAUUUCUUGUCUUUUCCUGGAAGCAAUGUUGGCCCCCAGAUAAGAAACCACAGUUCAUAACCUCCUGUUAUUGUUGUCAAAACCUUCACCAACUUAUUGGAAAAACAAUAAUUAUAAAAAUAAUAAAAUUAGAUAAGGUGUUUUAUUGCAUUUCGUUUAUGCAGCAAAUACAAGGCAUAAACUGUGCCUCUCUAAGGUGGUCUCCCAAGAUGGAGAAUGGACUUUCUUAAGGGAGAAUCGCCAGGAUGUGCAUGUGGGCAUCUCUGACUUUUCUACUGCACUGGCUGCAAGCCCUGGCUAGGGCCCCGGGUAACGACUUUCACAAGAAUCCAGGGCUAGGAACUCCCAUUUUGUCCAAUAGGGCACAGAGGCUCCCCACAGCAUAUUCACCGGCCUCCCUCACUCCAGUAUCCCUCUUCCCCUGGCUUGCUGCCUCAUUGUCCAUACUACCCUCGCAGCAGGCUGGAAACACAGACAAGUGGGGCUGGCAAUACAGGAGGCUUCCAAGACUUUAGAGUUUAAUUGCAGGUCUGGAAAGAUGGGAAGCCCAAAGGUAGGACCUCUAGGCCUUCCUGGAGGGUGCGGCAGGCUUCAAGUGCUCUGACCCAGUAGCUCCAUUUGUGCACAUGAUUGGAAAAGAGCAUUAUGGGAAAGUCCUUCAGUGAAUAAAUACAAGAUGGUGGUGGAGCAUGGGGGUGGGGAUUGAGUUUGAAUCCUGCCUCUGCCACCUGAUAAUUAAAAGACUUCCUAAUCUCUGUGACUCUGUCUUAUCAUGGAAGCAAAAUAGAGGUAGCAUUAUCUGCCAUUCCUGGUAUUUAAGGCUGUUAUAAAAACUCAAUGAGUCAUUAAGUAAAAGCACUUUAAAACCUAUAAAAUACCAAAAAAACCACCCCACAUCUGCUUGAUUUUUGUUGU
rnacentral:lncRNA from 1 species